rnacentral:rRNA from 1 species
UACGAAGGGGGCUAGCGUUGCUCGGAAUCACUGGGCGUAAAGGGCGCGCAGGCGGCCCUCCAAGUCAGGCGUGAAAGCCCCGGGCUCAACCCGGGAAUAGCGCUUGAGACUGGGGGGCUUGAGUUCGGGAGAGGAGAGUGGAAUUCCCAGUGUAGAGGUGAAAUUCGUAGAUAUUGGGAAGAACACCGGUGGCGAAGGCGGCUCUCUGGACCGACACUGACGCUGAGGCGCGAAAGCGUGGGGAGCAAACAGG